rnacentral:lncRNA from 1 species
AAUAAUAAUCUCACUCAGAAUAUUAAAAGUCCUGUCCAGAAGACUGUUUGCUGCUCCACACAAAAGACAAUCUUUCCAACCACUGAACUAAACAUGGACCGCUUAAUCUUCCAGCUAAAUCCUUUCAACACUGUUCAGGCUAUGCCUCUUGAAACUAUUGUUGAUGUUGCUUCACCCAAGUGCUGUGCGGCUUUCCAGCCAGUUCAUUCUGUGACUAGCCCAGAGAAUGCGAAUUCAAAGUCUGUUUGUGUAACUCACUGUGAACUCUUUAACACUAUGCGUUCUGUGACUGUCCAGGUUAAGAGCAACAAGGUGUCAUCUGCUGUUAACAAGCUGGCAAAAAUACUUGGUUUGAACACUGCAGAGUUGGUUGCUCAAGUUAAAGUUUCGGUUCCACGAUCAUGUCUGUACAACUCUGUGCGCCAUGCUUUUCAGCCAGUAGCCCUGGACACUGUGUGUGCAACUUCCCAGGCUGCGUUUUGUAAGACUGUGUUUAAUGUUGCUUCACACCCAGUUUCUUCAGAUACUGCUUGUAUGAUUUCUCCAGCACCUGUGACUGCCCCUGAACUCAUCUUUUCUAAGACUGCUAACGUCACCCUGGACAAUUUAAGAAUAGCAGUUUUACCAAGGUCAGCCUGCCAUAAGUCUCGGUUUUCUAGAACCAUGUCUGGUACCAUAAACCUGGUUUUCCCUGUGACUGUUACAGCUCCUCUGCUCUGCUCUCCGCAUCCAGUUCCAGUUCCCAGGCAGACUAUGGUAAGGCAGCCAGAACACAGCUCUUCCCUGGACCUGUAUCUGUUCUUCAGGUGGGGAUGGCUGAGGUUCGGCCAGGCCCAGUACCCGUUCCUGUUCCACGGAGAAGAGUUGCUGAGAGUCGGUUACCCGCUCUGUUGCAAGUUCAACAACCAUCACUACACCCAGCACGACCAUCAUCACGACGACCACUACAACUUCUGUUUCAGUCAACCGCCCAGCCGGUAACUCAGCAAUUAGCGCAAGCACCAAUUCAGCUACCUAUGCAGCCAGGGGUCCCAAUUGCCUCUGGCCCUGCAUCUGCUCCGGCUGGAGGGCUCAAGGAGUCCGUCCAGCCUCAAAUCUCGUCAGCUGGGGGCUCGAGGAGCCCGUCCAGCCUCAGGUUUCGUCAGCUGGAGGGCUCGAGGAGCCCGUCCAGCCUCAGGUUUCGUCAGCUGGAGGGCCCGAGGAGCCCGUCCAGCCUGAAGUUUUGUCAGCUGGGGGUUCGGGAGAACCCAGCCAGCUUCAAGUGUUGUCAGCUGGGGGUUCGGGAGAACCCAGCCAGCUUCAAGUGUUGUCAGCUGGGGGUUCAGGUGAACCCAGCCAGCUUCCUGCUACGUCGGCUGGAGGGCCCGAGGAGCCCGUCCAGCGCCACGCCUCGUCUGCUGGGGGUUCAGGUGAACCCAGCCAGCAUCCUGCCUCGUCGGCUGGAGGCUCCGAGGAGCCCACCCAGCACCACGCCUCGUUAGCUGAGGGUCCUGAAGGACCCAGCCAGCACAUCCUCACAUCUGCUGACGGUUCUGGGAAGACCGUUCAGCCACUACCUGUUCCACCGCCUGCAGCAUCACCGCCUGCAGCAUCGCUGCCGUCAGGUUCCGCAGCCGUCCCGCUGCCGUCAGGUUCCGCAGCUGUCCCGCUGCCGUCAGGUUCGGCCUCUGUGUCUUCAGCCUCGUCUGGUCCGGCCUCUGUGUCUUCAGCCUCGUCUGGUCCAGCGGUUGCCACACCGUCUUCAGUUCCAGCUCGUCCUUUUCCACCUCGCCUCUGCCGGCCGCUUUCCAGGUCUCCAGCUGGACAUCAUCGCCGGAGGGGGCAGCCCCCUGAGCGGGUUCUUCGUCGCCGCCGUCUGCGCGGCCGGCCACCUGAACUGCUGUGUGAUGGGCUUUUGUGCCGUCGGCCUCCGGGCCGGCCUCCUGAACUGUUGAGUGAUGGGCUUUUGUGCCGUCGGCCUCCGGGCCGGCCUCCUGAACUGUUGAGUGAUGGGCUUUUGUGUCGUCGGCCUCCGGGCCGGCUUCCGGAUCUAGGUGUUUUGAUGUCUUGACACCUAUUCUGUUUGGGACUGUUCUGUGCUCCUGUGCCCUUUUUGUUUUGGACUUGGUCCCUCCGUCCUGGACCCCCGCCGCCCGCCCUGGUUGGGUUGUUUUUGGUUUUCCGUGUCUCUGGUUUUUGGGUUUGGGCUGUCUGGAGCCAGCCCUUAGAGGGGGGGUACUGUUACGGUCCUGAGUCUGUGGACUCAGUGUUUUUCUGUUUGUAUUAGUUUUCCUUGAUUUCAUGAUGUGUUUUGAUUUCUGUCGCUAGUAUCCCUAGUUCCUUGGCAUUUCUUGUGUUCUAGUUCUUAGGUUGUGGUUCUGUUACUUCUGUUCAGUUUCCUGUUUUACUUUGAAAGUCUGUGUACUAUGUCAGUGUGUUGAGUUUUGUCUCCCCUUGUCUUGUCAUGUCCGAUGAGUCCCAGCUGUGCUCUCCUCCUGUUUCACAUUCCCUAAUUACCUCAGUAUGUAUUUAAGCCCUGUGUUUUUCCCUGCCAGUUGUUGCGUCCUCCACGUUUGUUGUGUGCGUAUUCAUUGUUGUUUACCUUCCGGUUAGAGUCAUUAGCAUCUCCUGUCUAGUGAGUUUAAGUUAUCGUUUAUGUAUCGCCAAGUGUGCCUCACCAGCAAAUAAAGCUGCCGUUUAAGUUAAUGUUUUGUCUCCGAGUCCUGCACGUGGGUCCAGCCACUGACAGCCACACAGCUCAUCGUGACAAUUCUGGAGGGGCUCAGAGUAGAGCCGCUGCUCGUCCACAUCGAAAGGAGCCAGUUGAGAUGGUUCGGGCAUCUGACAAGGAUGCCCCCUGGUCACCUCCUGGGCGAGGUUUUCCACUCAUGUCCCACCGGGAGGAGGCCUCGGGGCAGACCCAGGACACGCUGGAGAGAUUAUAUCUCUCGGCUGGCCUGGGAAUGCCUUGGUGUUCCCUCAGAUAAGCUGGAGGAGGUAGCUGGGGAGAGGGAGGUCUGGGCUUCUCUGCUUGGGCUGCUGCCCCCGCGACUCGGCCCCGGAUAAGCCGAAGAAAAUGGAUGGAUGGAUGGAUGGAUGGAUGGAUGGAUGGAGAUACUGUUCAUGUCAGUUUGAACUGGUAGUCAAAGUGGAGAAAAAGGGUUAGAAAUGUCAAAUACUAUUUGUUUCUUUGCAGCUGGGAGACAUACUUCAAAACACACACACCUUACUGACCUUAUAUAAAGAUUGAGAAUGCAGGUGUUGUUAUGACUUUUGAUGGGAACUUUUUC